rnacentral:rRNA from 1 species
AACGAACGCUGGCGGCAUGCCUAACACAUGCAAGUCGAACGAGACCUUCGGGUCUAGUGGCGCACGGGUGCGUAACGCGUGGGAACCUGCCCUUAGGUUCGGAAGAACUCCCCGAAAGGGGUGCUAAUACCGGAUAAUGUCUUCGGACCAAAGAUGUAUCGCCUUUGGAUGGGCCCGCGUUGGAUUAGCUAGUUGGUAGGGUAAAAGCCUACCAAGGCGACGAUCCAUAGCUGGUCUGAGAGGAUGAUCAGCCACGCUGGGACUGAGACACGGCCCAGACUCCUACGGGAGGCAGCGGUGGGGAAUAUUGGACAAUGGACGAAGGCCUGAUCCAGCAUUGCCGCGUGAGUGAUGAAGGCCUUAGGGUUGUAAAGCUCUUUUACCCGGGAUGAUAAUGACAGUACCGGGAGAAUAAGCUCCGGCUAACUCCGUG